UGCAAAUAAAGCAACUAACAGACCAAUCUUCGCAACUCAAUACAACAGUAAUACUAAGUAAAUGCAUUGCACAAUGGCCAACCACACAAGCCCGCCGUACAUUACAGCUAUUAACACACAUCCGAUCCCUAAACAAUAAAACAAACACUCAAGUACAGUACGUUAUCUCAGUUCACCCCCCCCCCCCCCCCCCUCUCACGGCUCAACCAUUUUUUACCCCAAGUCUCAAAAAAAUAUCUCAAAACACCAUUGCACAUCAACACUUAAAACAACACUCUCAACAUAAAAUAACAAGUUCACAAACAC